CCGAGACUGCAGCGCCGCCGCCGCUCGGGCCUGAGCCACAGGCCCCGCUUUCCGUCGAGCCCUACUUGGCCUGCUUUUGUUUCUUUCCAGGCAUGCAAAUCUUCACAGAGGCAGUGCAGAACUUCUUCAGUUUUAAGAGCUAUUCUGUUAAAAUUGAACAGUGCCACUCAGUUCCCUUGUAGCCUUUCCAGUCAUCUCUACAACCAGGUAUGGGACCCACCUGGGAAGACACACAUUCAUUUGUCUUGUUCCUCCCUCUGUGGAAAAGACUGAGCUAAAUAUAGACUUUUCCAUCUACAACUCAACAUUGCUAUUAUGUAUGACAAUUUUUGUCCAGGAG
rnacentral:lncRNA from 1 species